GGCUUAGAGUUUGAUCAUGGCUCAGGACGAACGCUGGCGGCGUGCCUAACACAUGCAAGUCGAACGGAAGUAAGAGCUUCGGUUUUUACUUUAGUGGCGAACGGGUGAGUAACGCGUGAGGAACCUGCCUUUCAGUGGGGGACAACAGUUGGAAACGACUGCUAAUACCGCAUAAUGUUUCCGGUCUGCAUGGACUGGAAACCAAAGCUUUAUGUGCUGAAAGAUGGCCUCGCGUCUGAUUAGAUAGUUGGUGGGGUAACGGCCUACCAAGUCAACGAUCAGUAGCCGGUCUGAGAGGAUGAACGGCCACAUUGGGACUGAGAUACGGCCCAGACUCCUACGGGAGGCAGCAGUGGGGAAUAUUGGGCAAUGGGGGAAACCCUGACCCAGCAACGCCGCGUGAAGGAAGAAGGCCUUCGGGUUGUAAACUUCUUUUACCAGGGACGAAGGACGUGACGGUACCUGGAGAAAAAGCACCGGCUAACUACGUGCCAGCAGCCGCGGUAAAACGUAGGGUGCAAGCGUUGUCCGGAAUUACUGGGUGUAAAGGGAGCGCAGGCGGACCGGCAAGUUGGAAGUGAAAUCUAUGGGCUCAACCCAUAAAUUGCUUUCAAAACUGCUGGCCUUGAGUAGUGCAGAGGUAGGUG
rnacentral:rRNA from 1 species